GAUGAACGCUGGCGGCGUGCCUAAUACAUGCAAGUCGAGCGAACAGACGAGGAGCUUGCUCCUCUGACGUUAGCGGCGGACGGGUGAGUAACACGUGGAUAACCUACCUAUAAGACUGGUAUAACUUCGGGAAACCGGAGCUAAUACCGGAUAAUAUAUUGAACCGCAUGGUUCAAUAGUGAAAGACGGUUUUGCUGUCACUUAUAGAUGGAUCCGCGCCGCAUUAGCUAGUUGUUAAGGUAACGGCUUACCAAGGCAACGAUGCGUAGCCGACCUGAGAGGGUGAUCGGCCACACGGGAACUGAGACACGGUCCAGACUCCUACGGGAGGCAGCAGUAGGGAAUCUUACGCAGUGGGCGAAAGCCUGACGGAGCAACGGCGCGUGAGUGAUGAAGGUCUUCGGAUCGUAAAACUCUGUUAUUAGGGAAGAACAAAUGUGUAAGUAACUAUGCACGUCUUGACGGUACCUAAUCAGAAAGCCACGGCUAACUACGUG
rnacentral:rRNA from 1 species